rnacentral:rRNA from 1 species
UGGGGAAUAUUGCACAAUGGAGGGAACUCUGAUGCAGCGACGCCGCGUGAGUGAUGAAGGAAUUCGUUUCGUAAAACUCUGUUCUAUGGGAAGAAAAGGACUGUACCAUAGGAGAAAGCUCCGGCUAAAUACGUGCCAGCAGCCGCGGUAAUACGUAUGGAGCGAGCGUUGUCCGGAAUUAUUGGGCGUAAAGGGUGCGCAGGCGGCUUUACAAGUUGGAUGUGAAAUAUUGUGGCUCAACCACAAACGUGCAUCCAAAACUGCAAAGCUUGAGUUGAGGAGAGGUAAGUGGAAUUCCUGGUGUAGCGGUAGAAUGCGUAGAUAUCAGGAGGAAUACCGGUGGCGAAGGCGACUUACUGGACUUAAACUGACGCUCAGGCACGAAAGCGUGGGGAGCAAACAGG